CUCUCUCUCUCUCUCUCUCUCUCUCUCUCUCUCUAUCUAUAUAUAUAGAGAGAGAGAGAGAGAGAGAGCGCAAGAGAGAGAG